ACUCGCUGAACUUAAGCAUAUCAAUAAGCGGAGGAAAAGAAACCAACAGGGAUUGCCCUAGUAACGGCGAGUGAAGCGGCAACAGCUCAAAUUUGAAAUCUGGCCCCAGGCCCGAAUUGUAAUUUGUAGAGGAUGCUUCUGGUUACGUGCCUUCUGAGUUCCCUGGAACGGGACGCCAGAGAGGGUGAGAGCCCCGUAUAGUCGUGCACCGAGCCUCUGUGUAGCACCUUCGACGAGUCGAGUAGUUUGGGAAUGCUGCUCAAAAUGGGAGGUAAACUUCUUCUAAAGCUAAAUACCGGCCAGAGACCGAUAUCGCACAAGUAGAGUGAUCGAAAGAUGAAAAGCACUUUGAAAAGAGGGUUAAACAGUACGUGAAACAAUUGAAAAGGAAGCACUUGUGACCAGACUUGUGCCGUGCGAAUCAUCCAGCGUUCUCGCUGGUGCACUUUGUACGGUUCAGGCCAGCAUCGGUUUUUCUAGGGGGACAAAAGCUCUGGGAACGUAGCUCUUUCGGGAGUGUUAUAGCCCUCUGCACAAUGCCCUUGGGGGGACCGAGGUUCGCGCUCUGCAAGGAUGCUGGCGUAAUGGUCAUCAGUGGCCCGUCUUGAAACACGG
rnacentral:rRNA from 1 species